GGCAGCUUCUAGCAAAUUCUGUGCCUUCAAAUGCAGCAUUUUAUGAAAGGUAAGUUUCAUAUUUACAGAGAAAUAAAGUUAUUAAUUCCAGCUCGUCUGGCAACAAAAAAAAUGAAAAUCAUACAAUAAAUAUUAGCAUUCAUACAAUAAAUCAAUUUCCCUUCCUGUCGGGUACCAGAGUCCUGACCACUCUGAAGCUUGAAUCACAAAAUCUCAGAAAAUCUUCAUAUACAGUUACUGAUUUCUGUUCUCAGUCAUUUCUUACAUGAGUUUCAAAUGUGUUAAAUAACCCCCCAUGCAAUCGAUGGAGACCUUCAUCUUCCUAGAUAUAAAAACUCAAACAUCCGCACAUCACCAUCACAUUAUUCAAGGUUCCUUAACACUGUGACCUUGGUAUAUGAUGCAAUUUAGGCCAAUGCUCACCAAGGUCACAGAAUAGUGUAGGUGCUCUUGUGCAACUACAUCACUUCAUCCAUAAACAUGAAGUAUUUACCAAUUGACCAUACCCCAAAAUAGUUUUUGUUGAUAAAACAGUGUGCUUUCUUUUUUUCUUUUGAGACUUGAACUCACUUUGAGUUCAAGGCCAGUUUGAACUACAUAGCUUCAGGCUGGCCUCAAACUUGUGGUGAUCCUCCUGCCUCAGCCUCCUGAGUGCUGGGAUUACAGGUGUGUGCCACCAUGCCCAGCUGUUGGUAAAACAUUUCAUCAUUGAUUAAUUGUCUGGUGAGAGCACACAGUUUUUUAAAAAUUUAAAAAUCAGGAUUACUAUACAUUGGAGCCCCAUAAAAGCCAAUUGCUUUGCCAAAUCACAGAGCCAUAGUCCACUCAUCUCACUCAAAUUCCACAGGAAUUCACACCCUCUGUUGAAAUAAAUUAAAACACAAGCUCUCUUAAGGUGAGUUAACAAUAUGGUCCUGUUAUAUGAUGGAUAACACAAUACUGCUCUUUGAUGUUAAGUAGAAAAUUAUAGGCAUCAUCAGUAACUCAGAAAAGAAAAUAGGUUGUCCAGAUAGAAAGAUUUAGAAGAACUAAAUUAGCCAGGAAAUUAUUUUAGUGCAUCAGUCUCCUACCUAACUUUAUCAAAAAAGACCUGAUGUCCCUCACUUUAUUCUAAAAACUCACAUUAUAACAAGAGAAAUCUUCAGAGAAACCUUCUAUAGUUUAAGGGUAACACCUUUUACAUGAUCAGGUUGUAAACUAUCUGUUUAAAAGAAUAAAAGGAGUAUGUUAAUCCUGAAUUCAAAAUGGAGGCUUAUAAACACUGAAUAAUG
ensembl:lncRNA